rnacentral:rRNA from 1 species
GACGAACGCUGGCGGCGUGCUUAACGCAUGCAAGUCGAGCGGUAAGGCCCCUUUUGGGGGGUACACGAGCGGCGAACGGGUGAGUAACACGUGGGUGACCUGCCUUCAGCUCUGGGAUAAGCCUGGGAAACUGGGUCUAAUACCGGAUAUGACCUUUGCCUGCAUGGGUGGGGGUGGAAAGAUUUGUUUUGGCUGGGGAUGGGCCUGCGGUCUAUCAGCUUGUUGGUGGGGUGAUGGCCUACCAAGGCGACGACGGGUAGCCGGCCUGAGAGGGCGACCGGCCACACUGGGACUGAGACACGGCCCAGACUCCUACGGGAGGCAGCAGUGGGGAAUAUUGCGCAAUGGGCGGAAGCCUGACGCAGCGACGCCGCGUGGGGAUGACGGCCUCGGUU